rnacentral:rRNA from 1 species
AUUGAACGCUGGCGGCAGGCCUAACACAUGCAAGUCGAACGAGUGGCGGACGGGUGAGUAAUGUCUGGGAACCUGCCCGAUGGAGGGGGAUAACUACUGGAAACGAUAGCUAAUACCGCAUACCAUCGGAUGUGCCCAGAGGGGAUUGGCUUGUAGGUGAGGUAACGGCUCACCUAGGCGACGAUCCCUAGCUGGUCUGAGCGGAUGACCAGCCACACGGGAACUGAUCCACGGUCCAGACUCCUACGGGAGGGAUCAGUGGGGAAUAGUGCACAAUGGGCGCAAGCCUGAUGCAGCAAUGCCGCGUGUAUGAAGAAGGCUUUCGGGUUGUAAAGUACUUUCGGCGGGGAGGCGGUACCCGCAGAAGAAGCCCCGGCUAACUCCGUGCCAGCAGCCGCGGUAAUAC